GAAACAGAAUCUGAAAUUUCAUUAUCCCAGCCGUAAACCUCUCACCCACACCCCCAAGCUCGAAACCGAACGGCUCCGCUCCACCGGCCAAAUGCACCCGCUCCGGCGUCUACCCGCGCUGCCGCUGCUGCUGCUGCCGCAUGGCUCCACGCCCCGCCGCAUCCUCGCCACCGGGGCCUCCGCUGCCUCGCCGCUACCGUGGCCGGGGCUCCACGCCUGGCGCCGGGCUUCUCCCAGCGACCUCCGCUCGUGGGGCCCGCACGGCCCCUGCGCCCCGGACACGGACGACACGGGCCCGCCAGAAGCCUGCGCCGCCGCCGGCAACGGCUCGUCCUUGGCCGAGAUGGGCGCCCUCGUGCUGUCCACCGCCGACCCCCUCGCCAAGGCGCAGCUCACCCACGCCGCCUUCUCCCAGUGGGCGACGGGCGGGCUCCCCGUUGGCCUGGCUCGGGCCCCCGACCACCCCGCCAGGCCGGACAAGCCCCUCGUGGUGACGCAGAAGGAGAUCACCACGCACAAGGCGAUGGGGGUGCCGCUGAACGCGUACAUGCUCCACAACCUGGCGCACGUCGAGCUCAAUGCCAUCGAUCUUGCUUGGGAUACUGUAGUGCGGUUCUCGCCACUCCAGGACACCCUGGGAGAUGGCUUCUUCGCGGAUUUUGCACGCGUGGCUGAUGAUGAGAGCCGACAUUUUCGGUGGUAUUCGCAACGGCUUGCAGAACUUGGGUUCAGGUAUGGCGAUAUGCCUGUUCACAAUCUUCUGUGGAGGGAGUGUGCAAAAUCCUCAACUGAUGUUUCUGCACGGAUGGCAGUGAUACCAUUAGUACAGGAAGCUAGAGGCCUUGAUGCCGGACCAAGGCUAGUGCAAAAGUUACUUGGCUUUGCGGAUCAUAGAUCUGCAGACAUUGUGGCAAAAGUAGCAGAGGAAGAGCUUGCACAUGUAUCUGUAGGUUUAUUUUGGUUUCUGAAAGUAUGCCAAAUGAUGGGUCGUGUCCCGGGUGCUACUUUUAGAGACUUAAUAAAGGAGCAUGGCGUUGUAAUGAAGGGUCCAUUUAACUAUCCAUCUCGUGAUGAAGCUGGUAUACCGCGAGAAUGGUACGAUGAGAAUUUUAAACAUGAAGCUGCAAGUAAACUUUCAGAGGUACAUGAUAGGCUAGCUUGUGUUGUUGAGAUGGAGAAAGAGAAUGCAAGUUGAAUGGCUAUGUCUCACCUGAUGAGUGCAUGGGAGACUUGGUAGGUACUACAUGGCUAGCUGGAAGGAAUGCUGCUUUGCCAAGUUGCUGCUUCAUGAGGCAACAUACGCAGAAACGUUUCAAAGUUGUGCAGUCUGUGCUCUGUACAGUAACCAUCAGGACUGUUUAUCAACUCGAGCCAUAAUUUGCUGCCGAGAGCCAAGUGUUGUUGGCAUGAACAACGAGUGCUGAAGAGCAAAUAUACUGGACAACAGUUGCCAAAAGCCAAAUAUACACUGGACAACACGGUAAAUGUGCAAAUGUUUCAUUUGUUUGGGAUGGAGUAUGUUGGUCCGCCUUGUGAUUUAUGUGCAGACGUGCAAAUGUGCAAUGUCGCGAACAGCCUAUUUUCUUCUUGCGUGCUUGGCGUCGCUAUCUGGCGUUAACACUUAACAGUCCUGAAAUUUUGUCUCAGUGAGCUGUCCUCUUCUAUGUUU